UGCGUAGGCGGCGCGGAAAGUCAGAUGUGAAAUCUUUGGGCUCAACCCGGAAACUGCAUCCGAUACUCCCGCGCUAGAGUAAUGGAGGGGUAGCUGGAAUUCUCGGUGUAGCAGUGAAAUGCGUAGAUAUCGAGAGGAACACUCGUGGCGAAGGCGAGCUACUGGACAUUUACUGACGCUGAGGCACGAAGGCCAGGGUAGCGAAAG
rnacentral:rRNA from 1 species